CGGGAUGUAGUACAAUGGUAGUAUUCGCGGUUUGGGACCGCGUGACCCGAGUUCGAUUCUCGGCAUCCCGA
rnacentral:tRNA from 1 species